CCACCACCCACAAGGGAAUCACUGUAUCCCCACUUAACAGCCAAGGAGACUCAGGCUCAGUGAUUUGCUGCUGUCAGCCAGCAAGGUGUGGUGAGGCCAGGGCUGCCCUCUCUGCUCAGCUCCCUGCACUGGCGUCUGUGGUGACAGUGUGCCACCAUCGGCUCCUACACUCCUCUGUGUUCCAAUGCCAAACCUCAGAAAUGUGGGCUUCUGGAAUCCCAGGGCACAGCUGAACCCCAUUUCUUAGUUGCCAGUGUUCACCAGCUUAGCAGGGUCCUCAGGCCUCCCAGCUCUGGGUCCUCCUGGGCACUUGGCAACAUUGCUUUCUUGUCCUUCCUGGGAAGAGAGGUGGGAGACGACUCUCCAGACCCGAAAGCAGGGCCACUGCCAUGGUAGCCGCCAGGGGAUGGGCCACGGGGCCAGCCACACGGGCCUCCUGCUGCAGACACCAUUAGCCCUAAUUGCUUGGUGCCGGCUUUGAAGGACACAGCCUCAUCCUGCGGCUCGGGCAAGGCCUUCCUCGACCUGUCAUCAGUAAUUGAGGGACCCAUGGGACGCCGGGCAGAAACCUGAUCUGCAGCUAAUUGCCAGGGGCAGCCUUUCUCAGAGUUCUCCUGCCCCCAACUCCUAGGCUCAAAGGGUUUCACGUGCCCUUGGAGGCAGUUGUAUACAUCAAAGGGAGCUGGAGGAAGCCUCUUGAUACCCC
rnacentral:lncRNA from 1 species